CAUAAUUUGCUUGCCCCCGCCUCUUCUUUUCUUCUUGGAUUCUCCAUCUCCACACUUUCCAACUUCCAAGUUGUCAGCCCAUUUGCUGAUAAUUGGGGUCAAACCUCAAACUCCAUCCCAUCCCUCCUCCACUCCACGGCAUCCCCGGCCAGGCAAUGUGGCAUCAGAAUCCCCCCCCCCAGCAGCCCUGCUUGGAAAACACAUUAGGGCAAAGGAAAUAGGCCGUGAUUUCUGACGUUAGGCCCUUUGCUACAAGCGCUAGUCCGAAAUGAAGACGGCAGUGUUUCCAGUUUAUAAACACACAGGGGAAGAUCCACUAAAGCCCCCACCAGCUUUCCGUUAUCUUUUUGUUUGGUCUGCUGAGCAGGAUCAAGGCUGCCCCGGGAGGGAGCCCGGGGUGUGUGGGGGUGCCCCCCCUGGACCUGGAGCGCAAACAAAAGCUACUGGAUGGUAUCUCCUGUCAUCGUUUGCUUUCACAGCUGUCGACACAUAAACCAAAGGAGUUAGCAUCCCUGAAAACAAAGACGGAACACAGACUGUGAAAUGGGCAACUGUUUUCUGUUGCUCAGAGACAGCAAUAGUCUUUAGAGCUACCCUGAGUGGAAAAGUACCGCCCGAUGUUCCAGAAGACCUCCGGAUGCCCGCGGCCUGGCCCGCGCCGCUGCUCCUCGGCCGGACAGCGGUUUGCAGCGGCAACGGGCCCAGCUGCCUGCAACUCAUGUCACCCCCAUGAAGGUGUUUCUAGGUGUCAGCACAGAGCACACUGCUUGCUGGGUGGGGGCUCCAGUUUGAUACCAAGCAACGGUGCGAGGUCAUGCAUGGGGCCAGACGCGGAAAGCUGAGCAACGUGCCCUCUCGGUGCUUCACAAGCCAAGACGAGCCGGGAACGGCCAGGGGCACCCCUCCGCCUGCCCCCUGCCCCCAGAAGGAGGAGCGCAGCGGCUUGCUUACCUUGAAGUUGUGGGUCUUCUCGUAGUUGAAGUGGUUGUCGUUGUGCGUGAGGGCGGCCCUUCGGACCAGGGACGAGAUCUGCGAACAGGCAAAGAGUUUGAGAGGGGGCCAGAGAAAGGCGCCUUUGACUCCCACCUUCACCCCCAAGGCCACGGCCAGCAGCUCCUGGCGUUUCCUGCCUUGCUUAGGCUUCCGAAGCACCGCACAUUUUUUCUCAUUUUCCGGCCACAGUUCCUCGGAGAACAUAGUGCCUGCACCCCACAUCCUUCUAGAUUCCCCCGUGAAGGCUCAGCGCUGGCAGGUCUUCCGAACCGCGGCUAAUGUCAGGCAGCAGAUUCGAGGCAGCUGCGUCCUGUCUGCAGCGGCCCCGGGCAUGUGACCUGGACGGGCUGCUUUGAGUGAUGGAGGGGGCUCUGCGUCUGAAUAAGGACGGGGCUGUUCGGUGCUAGUUCUUAGGGCCGACGUGUGCCUGAACAAUAGCGCACAUUCAUGUGCACAGCAAGCCCCAGAAGCUGUAUCCGGGCGCCGCCGGGCCCCGGGGGAGGCGGCAGGGGCAGGCGGCUUCAGGGCUCCCGCCACAGGACAGACCCCUCGUGCCUGUGCACAUUUCAUACACACACACACACACACACCCCUACUCGCUCUGACGUUCAAAGCCUGGGGCUGUAUCCAAUUAUUUUGGGGCUCUGAACCCCAUCCGGGGCUGGACUCUGGCAGAUUAAACCUUUAAACCCUGAUGAUUGUUUAAUCUUAUGGGGAUAAAGCCUGCCUCACUUAAAAAAAAAAAAAAAAAAACUGCCCUAGCACUUGAAGCUUAAUUUUUAUUCUUAUGCAUGCAUUAAAUCAGAGCAGUCUGAACAGUGACUGGGCAUGGAAAAAGAGCAUGGCAUUUUAGCUCUGAGCUCUACAGCCAGGGUUUCAACAGAAGACGUGGGAUGUCUUGCUCCCAGUCUCUCUCCUCCCCACCAGUGUGCGUGCACACACACACACACACACACACACACACACACACACACUGGAGACACAGGUGUUCCUUAACUAAAACCCAAACGUCAAAGUUGCCUUUAUCUUAAAUAUGACAUCUUGCAUGUUCAUUCUGUUAGCGCCCAAGCCUGAUGCUCCCCAAGCCUGAUGCUUCUUGAAAGCAUCAUCUGUUUGAUGGGCUCCCCUGGGACCAGAAGUUUUGGACCCAAGUCUCGUCACUGUAGCAGUGAGGAAAUCAUUAUGUCUGGGGAGAACUCCUGGUCUGCUGACAAGGUUCGAUGCGGCUAAUGCCCGCAAGUAAAAUCAAUGCUGUGGGAACCAGAAAGUGAGGAGAAUGCGGGUAGCCAGGCCGUGGGGGUAGAUGCACAGGCCAGGGGUGCCAUCCUGGCUUCUACCGAGACAGGGCCCCACGUUUCAGCCCCUGCAAGCAGCCUUGUGGAGAAUAAAGUGAGGUUGCUGUUUUCCUGUGGAAUUCUUUAUUCCUGACAAUUACCAUUGUCCUACCGUAGUUCAGAAGUGCAUUCUCUCAGGUCACCCUUGUACCCUCAGGGGUAACAAGAGCCAAUUUUUUUUUCUGUUUUUGAAGGGAUGGGAAGGGAGGGGUGGAAGGAGACGGAGAAUCUUAAGCAGACUCCACACCCUCCCCCCCCAGAGCCCGAUGCAGAGCUCGAUCUCAUGACCCUGAGAUCACGACCUGAGGUGAAGCCAAGAGUCAGACGCUUAACCAACGGAGUCACCCAUGCGCCCUUAAGAGUCAAUGUUUAUAUUGAACUACUGAGCACGAUAACUUACGUUGUGCAGGGUGAUAUCUGCAAUGUGUUAAAGGCACUUACGUGUUUACUUUUCAGCUCAUGUGUAUGAGAAACAAGACUUUGACUCCCAUUUUUUUUUGGAUGAAGAGAUUGAGGCACUGAGAGGUAAAGCACAGGCCAUUGGCUUAAGUGGCACAGCUCAGGACUUGAACCCAAAGUAUCUGUGUCCAGCACCUGUGGUUCCUGAACACCAGGUCCUGGCCCAGAUAAGCUGAUAUGGUGCCAUGUCCUGCCAUUUGUGUCCUGCUUGAUCUGAAAUACUGGCCAAGUCUGCCCCUCUUCCCAUUCUUGCCCCACAGUAUCUCCGCAGCACACUGCACGUGGCGGCACAGUAUUCGUAGUCUGGAUGCACCAGCCCAGAAAAGGUCAGUGAUUCUCCACGGCCUAACCGUGUUGGGGCAUUGUGGGUUUUUCAUGACCUUGUCUCAGUCUACCCGGCUCAUCUAUUUGCCGGCACUCCCCUCCAUAAAUCCUACAAAACCUCUCUUCUCUGACACACCCCUCACCUCAGUAGCUGCCUCUGUCUUGUAGCAUCUUCCAGUAUCAUUCUACAUGUUGAUAGGCUCAACAACAUUCACAUUCUAACUCAAAUGCCACCCUCUCCGAAAAGUCUUCUCCAAACUCCCCACUGGAGGCCAACUAUCUCCUCUGAAAUCCCAAAUAGCUUUUUCCACAUUUUUCUGAUUUCACUUGUCGCGUUCUAACUUAUAUGACAGCGAUUUAUGCUUGCCCCUGCCCUAUUGAGAAAUCAUCAUGACACGCUCUAUUGUCUAAUUCACCUGUUUCUUCUUCACAGGUACCUAAUAAAAUUCCUUGCCAUGGUAGGCACUGAAUUAAUUAAUAUAAGUUGCCAGGAACUACCUGUACCUAUGGGAAGCCAGCAUUGUGGAGGAAGCUGUGCAAAAGUGACUGUAUGGGAAUUUACCCAAACACAAGAUGCAUUCAGACACGUGAAGGAACCACACAGUGGCUACUUAAGAUGCAUCUUUACAAGGAACCAGAAGUGCUGGCAUUUGAGUGAGCAUUAUUGUUUGGAUUCUAUUUUUUGCGGCCUCUCACUGCCCUUCUUUCUAUGAGGAGGAUCCUGAAGCCAAGAAUCAGGAUUCUCUUAUGGUUUUCAGACAUGGGGCGCCUGGGUGGCUCAGUCAGCCCUGAAAUAGGAGGAAGAUAAUACAAGGAUGUGGCUGAGCUGCAAGCUUAUCCCCAUGACUGCUAAAAAAAUGCGAGACAGCAGGUGGGACCCUGCCAUCUCUCCUGCCCACAUGCUGGUCAGAGCUGCAGAAUCCUGGUGUCAUCAGAGUCCAUCAAAACGCCAGGGACUGAGGGCUGCCCUGGCUGACUCCUAAAACUGCCAGUGACCUCCAAAACUGCUGUGCUCUGGUCCGAGGAGAAGGAGCCUUUAUCUCUGAUGGCACAACAUGCCCAGCUGCCACUCCAAUUGUUCUCCAGGGACAGAUGGCCACUCUCAAUACGAGAGGCACAAAAGGGCUGAAGGACCGGUCUUUUACGACUCAUUUCCCCUCAUCCACAGCAGUAAGUGUUCACCCCAAACUGAAGGGCCUGUGUGGUCUCUAAAACGGACCAAAGCACCUUGUUUGGAAGCAGCUAAAUAAUCUGAUACUUCCUGGGUUGACCGAGUGUGUAAUGUUAUCAUUGCUGUUCUCCCUGCAUCACUUCUCCAGCUGUUUUAUUGGGGUGGAGGUCAACGAUUUUGGCUAAUUGCUGAUGUCUCUCACAGACGCCUCAGAGGUGGACACAAAAAAUCCUCUGUGUUAGAGACAGACUCUCUAGGUUGUGUUAAGCAUCUCACACAUUUGAACCCGUAGUUGUUGCUGUUUUUGCGCCCAGUUUUUAAAAGAGGGAAGAAUAGAGUGGAUACAUCACUGUAGUCAUCCAUUUACUUAAAUGAGAACUUUAAGACUCUCAGAUUUCCUAUGUGCCAAGUUUAAGAAGGUCUGGCCGGGUUAUUUUUGAGAGAAUGGAGCACUUGUUGAAUCAAGUGCCUUAAAAUUGCUUUAGAAUAUUUUAGGUAACCUUUUGUAAAACUAAGACCCAGAGAAACAAUACAUAUUUUAAGGGAGAAGCUGUUAUUACAAAGUUCCCAGCUGCUGUCUUCCUCCUCUUCUCAUAGUCCACAUUCAUUUCCUUUUCUUUGUAUUCCCUUGCUGUCAUGUACCUUCCCUUCAUCAGGCCAAAGAAGCAGUUGCCCCGAAUGAUCGACCUAUGUGUUUUAUUACAAAAGUCAAAGAUGCUCCAUUUCUGGCUUAUGGCACCCAACUGUAUAGUA